CUUUUGCCAUUUUUGAAUUUUUGCAUGCUCUUAUCCUCUCCACACUCUCUUACAUUACCACUUGAGGAUUUCUCACUUUCUCACACUUUCUUUCCAACCAAACAAAGGAAGCUUUACUCGAGGAGGGAUUUUUGACAUUAGCAAGGAGGAGACAUGGACCAGAAGUAGAAAGUCAGGAUGAUGAUCAAGGCAAAGGAUGUGCUCAACUCAAAGAAUGAACAAAUUCAGUCAUGACCUACUUGGAGAUAGUUGAGAUUAGAAGGAUGCCUUAAUAAUUAUUAAGGCCUUUCAAGACAAAACUUGUUAUGAUGUAACGAGGAGUUUGAUACUCCAUUAUUGAGAAGUAUGAUUUAAAAGCUAUGAAUGAAGUUGAGAUAUUAAUUUUA